rnacentral:rRNA from 1 species
UACGGAGGGUGCGAGCGUUGUCCGGAAUCAUUGGGCGUAAAGGGCGCGUAGGUGGCGGGACAAGCGUGCGGUGAAAGCCUGGGGCUCAACCCCGGGUCGGCCGUGCGAACUGUUUUGCUUGAGCGCUGUAGAGGCAGGCGGAAUUCCGGGUGUAGCGGUGGAAUGCGUAGAGAUCCGGAAGAACACCGGUGGCGAAGGCGGCCUGCUGGGCAGUAGCUGACACUGAGGCGCGACAGCGUGGGGAGCAAACAGG